rnacentral:rRNA from 1 species
UACGUAGGGUGCAAGCGUUGUCCGGAAUUAUUGGGCGUAAAGAGCUCGUAGGCGGUUUGUCGCGUCUGCUGUGAAAACCCGAGGCUCAACCUCGGGCCUGCAGUGGGUACGGGCAGACUAGAGUGUGGUAGGGGGAGACUGGAAUUCCGGGUGUAGCGGUGGAAUGCGUAGAGAUCCGGAAGAACACCGGUGGCGAAGGCGGUUAGCUGGGCAGUUGCUGACACUGAGGCGCGACAGCGUGGGGGAGCAAACAGG